UGUUCGUGACUCAGCAAUGUGAUUUCCCUUAUAAAAUUCGAUUGCGCCAUAUGAAAUUUUCAGUAACUGUUGGUGUACUCGUACGUCCCAGUUAUUAAGUUGCUGUAAAUUAUAUAACAGAACGACAAUUUACUGUGAAUUAGCAGCGUCUGAGCUGAGUUGGCCGAGAUCACACCAUGGGAUUGUUUGUUUACUUGGUUGUCUUCGCCGUUGGCGUUGCUGUGGGGAUAUUGGCGGAAAAGCUAGAUGCCGAGCGUGCACAUAUUCGAGUAGAAGUACACCCUGACAGAGACCGCUAACAUUGAUCCACGAUGGCUGAGGACAGAAGAUGCAGAGAAGACGACGAAAGAUGAUCACUAAUAAAUAGCGCAAACAAAGGUCUGCACUACAAAAACUGUUGUGUACUGUGUAGAGCUAAAUUACAAUUACUUCAAGCAUCAAUCUUAUGGAAGUCACCUACAUGUUCCAUUUACUUUUAAAAUAAUCAACCGGAUUGUACAAUGCUUGCAUCGGAUCAUAGUGUCUAGCUACUUUUAAUGAAUUUUGGUAGUUUACUUUUAUGCAGAUAUUGAAAUUAAAAAGGCACGUCAAGACAUUUAUCCACCAUUUGUCAUGUCUGUCAUAACAAGUGCACUGCAGGAGCAUGUCACACCUCAACAUUUUAUACGAGCGCAUUUCGUGUGUAAUUUCACACUCUAGUAUAUGCUGAAUGGUGAUACUUUUAAAGUUUUGGGAAUAAAUAAGUACUUGUAAAAGCGCUGAUUAUAUGCCAAAUUCUUUUGCAAUCAACUUUUAUCAUAAUGAAUGCUGGAUUUGUGAUGCAUCCCAACUGCUUUUCCGUCCAGUGAAGUGGACACUUGAUUAAUCCACCAGGCUUUCACAAAUAGAAAUUUCGUCCUCAACUUCAGUUCUUGUAUCGUUAAGCUAUGUGUACCCUUUAUCCAGUUGGUCUGUGGCCAUUUUGGUCUGUAAUUUGAAGCCUCACAGGAUCAUGGACAGGCUGAAUUGUCUGCACGAUACAGAACUAUAGAUCAGGAUUUAUACUGCAUCCAUUUUUGAAGUGUGUGUUUUUGUUCAACAGAGAUACGCAUGAGCAAACCUCUUAUGCAUUCAUUGUGAAUGAAUUAACAAAAUCCACACCUCCAAGAUGGCUGAUGAAUGCAAUCCAUCUAUUUCAAACGCAGCUGCUGAACAACCAGCCAACUUGAUCAUUCCACAACCAAGGCCAUAAUUAGAGGCCAACCCCUUCACAUGUGGCCCUCAAGUCUUCUGCUAUAUAUGCUCAGCUUCCCGGCUCCUAUUUUCACAAGUUCUCAUAGGUCAGACCAAGAUAAGAACUCUUUUGAAUUAUAGAAUUGUGUCUGGCAAACAAGUCCAGAAUUGGACCAUCAUGGUGGGGCCUCCCUUGUCGGAAGUAAUUAGACCAAUUGAAAUAGGUUUACAACUUCUGUAUCUCUAACUGUUCACUGAUGUAUUAAUUUGCAAUUUGCUAUGUAUUCAAAACAAAUUACCCUCAUUAACACUACAUUAAUUUCUCAUAAGUUGAUUUUGUGUGAUAGAUUAGUUGUCCAUUUGAUAAUAGGGAAAGACUUCCAUACCUGGACAUCACUUGACACCCUGUGCGCAAACCCUAUGAGACUGGUCUGGAAAAUUCCAAGUGUUUU
rnacentral:lncRNA from 1 species